GCCCCUUUGGCUCAGUGGUAGAGCGUCGCACUCGUAAUGCGAAGGUCCACGGUUCAAUCCCGUGAGGGGGCA